rnacentral:tRNA from 1 species
GUGGCUAUGGUGUAACGGUUAACACGGAGGUUUGUGGAACCUUCAAUCUGGGUUCGAUUCCCAGUAGCCACC